rnacentral:rRNA from 1 species
UACGGGGGGGGCAAGCGUUGUCCGGAAUUACUGGGCGUAAAGGGCUCGUAGGCGGCCAACUAAGUCAGACGUGAAAUCCCUCGGCUUAACCGGGGAACUGCGUCUGAUACUGGAUGGCUGGAGGUUGGGAGAGGGAUGCGGAAUUCCAGGUGUAGCGGUGAAAUGCGUAGAUAUCUGGAGGAACACCGGUGGCGAAGGCGGCAUCUUGGACCAAUUCUGACGCUGAGGAGCGAAAGCCAGGGGAGCAAACGGG